CAACUUUCAGCAACGGAUCUCUUGGCUCUCGCAUCGAUGAAGAACGCAGCGAAAUGCGAUAAGUAAUGUGAAUUGCAGAAUUCAGUGAAUCACCGAAUCUUUGAACGCACCUUGCGCUCCUUGGUAUUCCGAGGAGCAUGCCUGUUUGAGUGUCAUUA
rnacentral:rRNA from 1 species